UUUGAGAAAUUCAAGCACAACAAUUUCAAAUGUAAUUGGGCCAGUGGAGCAAAUGGCUUUGGCUAACCAUCCAGUUAAAGGCCUAUACUUUAUGGUUGUUGGUCCACCAGAGGUCAGUAUAUGAUUCAAAAAA